UGGCUUCUGAAUCUGUUAUUUCCUCAUGUAGUACCUCUUCCGUCUCUUGAUCAGGCGUCUCUUCAGUCUCUUCUACAUUAUCGUGCAGGGGUAUCUCUGACUGGUAACAUUGUGCAGCUUCACCUUGUGUAUAAGUCGGUGAUUGAUCCCUGUUUGCCCUGGCCUGAGACGCGGUCUGCCAUUGAUCAUCACCAAACCAAUUCAUACCACCAUACAUAUGAAUUGAUUCUAAUCCUU
rnacentral:lncRNA from 1 species